AGAUCUUGGUCUCAGGAAAUCCGCCGGGGCGUCCCUGCCCCAUCCGGCCGCCUCCUCCAUGGCGACUGGCUCCCAUCCGGCCGCCUCCUCCAUGGCGAGAACCGUGUCCAGAGGAGGACGAGCACGACCAUGAGUUUCCCGUCGUCGUCUCUCUCCGUGCUUAACCGGUGUGCCGACACCCCUCCCAAGCUUCGCCUGCUGCUACCCCGACACGGCAGCAUGGAUCUGACGUCUCCCGGCCGUCCCGAAGCGGCGGCCCAUGGGAUCCGAGCGAAGAAGAGGCCUCGCGAUGGCCUUGGUUCUCCUCUUAUGCAGGCUAGAUCUUGUUGGCCUCAACCAGCACCACCAUCAGGAUCCAGGCGAGCAUGCGGCUGCUCCUCCACCGUCAUGUGACGCGUGUAGUGGCCGUUCACCAGGGGAGACUCAGCUCCACGAUCACCACCACUCACUUGAUGUGCAGGUACGGCCAACCACCCCAUCUCCCUCUUAAUCCAUCUUUUCUGCCCUCGCAUGGGUGCGUGUAGAGGUAGAGAUUAGAGAGCAUGCACUUGCAAGCCUUCCGUGUUGAAGACAUGUCUUGGAAUCAAUUGACUCAUGGUACCAUUAUGUCACCGUUUAUUUAGACAUCUGCAUAUUACUGUUGCCACUAAAACUCACACUCAUUGCCUCAACGCCGCACACGGGAGUUGCCGCCCCCGCGAGGAUUUGAACGCACGAGGGCGGCCGCUGGCAAACGAGGCUGCACUCGCGCCCACAUGGGAACGGCCACAUCAGUUGUACGCUUGCUUUGAUAUAUGAGUUGUACUGAAUUUUGCUAUAUUCAAAUUGAUUUCGUAAGUUAGCAGCGUGCCUGUCUCUUGAACUGAUAUGUGUUUGCUUAAUUUAGUGAGGCUCAUUAUAUUUGGUAAAUGCAAAAUUCAGCAAAGUAUACUUUGUGUGCAGGAAGUUACCGAGGUAGGCUGACUUACGUAUGCCCUAUAGAUGCAAAAUUCAGUAAUUUGUCAUACAUCUCAAGGUGCAUGCUUUAUGUGGGAUUUACCUGAUUGUGCAGUACAAGGAUUGGAUUAUUUUUCAUUGACUUGUUUGAGGACAGGACUUAGGCUUUGUUUGUGUUACGCUCUCACCUCUCACUAACGCGACGCCGGGCAUCGAUCGAGUUGCAGGUCCACACGCCAUCGACAAGUCGACCCGCGAAAGAAGCUGGCCCUACCGAUCAGGAUGACAUCGAUGAGGAGGAAGCAAUGGUGUGACGUCAUGGAUCCCACCUGUAAGUGCGUGAGUGUGUGGCUACAGUUUUCUACAAUAUUGUGAAAACCACGAUGUGUUUGGCAGUCACAGUAUUUGCCACUAUAUUUGGUGAUCCAGUUAUCAGCAUGUUCAUGUUCUACAACCCUAUCGGCCCCGGGCAAAGAAUCACACACGUUAUCAUAGGCGAGGACUGGUCGUGGCUAUAUGCAAGUGUGGUCGCCGACACCCAGGCAGGCUCAACGUAUAGCAUGCAUACACGGGCUCUUUUCUGAAUACUAUGCACCUUGAAUUCUGUGAGAUAUACACGUACAUUGCUCCCAAGUCAUAUAGAGGUUAAUGCUCAAUCUUUAUUUUAUUUUUAAGAAACUAAUUGGUGAUGCUUUGUACAUAAUAGUCAGGAUCUGGUUCGCAUGACUAUGUUGCCCUGCAUAAAUGAUCUUCACCACUCUCUCUAUACCCUUUUAUAUAUGGGUUUUUAUCAUUUAUGCCACCGGUUGUGUUUCACUACUCAGUUUUGCCACUAGGAAUUUCAACUGCUCAAAAAUGCCAUCGCUUCGUUAGACACAUACUCAAAAAUGCCACUGGACACCAUUAUUGUGGUCUCAAAUCUCUUUUGCCAUGUUAUAAUGACAUAAAUACCUAUGAACCAACAUGCCAGCUCUCCCUCUAUCUCACUACAAUAAAGUGUGGGGCCCACUUGUUCCCAACAACGUUCUUAUUUUCCUGUAAAAUUAUUCGCUUGGGUACUCCUGACAAGUGGGGCCACACUUAUCAUUGUGAGAUAGAGUGAGCUGACAUGUGGGUCUAGGCUUAUUUUUGUCAUAUAACAUGGUCAACAGGUUUGACGUGAAAAUAACCAUGUCUAAUGGCAUUUUGGAGCAAACAUCUAACGUAAUGAUGGCAUUUUUGAGAUAUCUAAUGGCAUUUUUGAGCAAGCAUCUCACAAAUCGAUGGCAUAUUUGAGUAGCUGUAACUUCUAAUGGCAAAACUGAGUAGUGGGACACAACUAGUGGCAUAAAUGAUAAAAACCCUUUAUAUAUUGUUUGACAUUUGUACUUUUCUAUCUGCAGAUGAGUAAGAGAAGAAAAAUGAAUGUGCUCCUGUUUACAUCAAGAGAAUGUACCCCAUUUAAGGACCUAACAAACACAACUAUGGAUGGUAGUGCUAAUAUCCCACAUAAUCAAACGGACGAUCCUAAAAGGAAAAGUGUUCAAUCAUGGUACGCCAAUGUCGGAUGAGAAGAAAGCAAAAUACAACGCGAAGUGUCAUAUAUCCUGACAACAAACGAGAGUUGCAGCUCUAGACUGUCUAAACCAGGACCAAUUAUCACAAACAUGUGUUUCUCCGUUAGACUGUGCUAUGGUUCAUCUCUACAACAGUUUUCCUAUCUAACAUCAUGUGUAUCUAAGUGCAGCUUCUGGUCAGGCCCCACUUGUUUCUGGCGAUCCCAGUUCCAGUCAAAUGCAAUAGGAUAUGUAAUGCUUAUUUGUCACAUUCAUUCAUUAUGUAAUAACUCUUCUCUCCUGUGAUAGUAAUGUGUCACAAAUUCAUCAAAAAAUGUGCCACUCCCUCCUGAUGCUCCCUCAUGGUGCUAGAAAAACUCCCAAGUCAGAAAAUUAUCACGGUUGCUUCAACAUUUAUCUCUUCGAGCUGUAAUAAGAGUUUUGCGACAAGGCUGCCUUGCAAUAUUUUAU
rnacentral:lncRNA from 1 species